GUGUCAGCAGCCGCGGUAAUACGUAGGGGGCAAGCGUUGUCCGGAAUUACUGGGCGUAAAGCGCACGCAGGCGGAUUAAAAAGUCAGCCGUAAAAUGCACGGGCUCAACCUGUGUUAGUCAGCUGAUACUAUUAGUCUAGAGUAUGUGAGAGGGAAGUGGAAUUCCCGGUGUAGCGGUGAAAUGCGUAGAUAUCGGGAGGAAUACCAGUGGCGAAGGCGGCUUCCUGGCACAAAACUGACGCUCAUGUGCGAAAGCUAGGGCAGCGAACGGGAUUAGAUACCCCGGUAGUCCUAGCCGUAAACGAUGGAUACUAGGUGUGGGUGUCGCAGGGCAUCCGUGCCGCAGUUAACGCGUUAAGUAUCCCGCCUGGGGACUACGGUCGCAAGACUGAAACUCAAAGAAAUUGGCGG
rnacentral:rRNA from 1 species